rnacentral:lncRNA from 1 species
CCCUCCCGAUGUUACAUCUACCAGAGCAUGACCCACUAAGGACGACACUAGACUCCAUAGCACUAGCUUCUACUCAACUCACUGCUCGUUACCUGAAAAAUAGAUGUAAGGGUGAGUUUCUCAAUCAAUAUAAUAAGCAUUAUACAACAUUAUGUAAUGUUAAGUAAAUACGCAUUUGUUCACCCUAACCAGACUACACACUCAGCAACGGCAGUACCAACUCAACAUCAUACCCAACAAUAACAUAUAUCAUAUGUAUAAUCUCAAACCAUACUCAAUCAUCAACAACACAACACAUAAUAACCAUAUAAUACUGGAAUACAUCCAUUCAUAUUAUAUGCCAUACAUUCAUUAUGCAAUGAGACUCAACAUAUGCGGUACCGACUAUUCUUGAACAUACAGUUCAAGCUCACCGAUCAACUCCAGAUACGGCUACUAAGCUCACUAGUCCCACUCAUUUGAGAUCUAAUGACUCACUCACUAAUUCCUCACCAUGGGAAUUAGCUACAGCCCCAAAGGCUAGACUAUGC